rnacentral:rRNA from 1 species
UACGUAGGGGGCAAGCGUUGUCCGGAAUUAUUGGGCGUAAAGAGCGCGUAGGCGGUCCGGUAAGUCGGCUGUGAAAGUCAAGGGCUCAACCCUUGAAAGCCGGCCGAUACUGUCGGACUAGAGUCCGGAAGAGGCGAGUGGAAUUCCCGGUGUAGCGGUGAAAUGCGCAGAUAUCGGGAGGAACACCAAUUGCGAAGGCAGCUCGCUGGGACGUUACGUGACGCUGAGACGCGAAAGCGUGGGGAG